rnacentral:rRNA from 1 species
ACGUAGGUGGCAAGCGUUGUCCGGAAUUACUGGGUGUAAAGGGCGAGUAGGCGGGUAGCCAAGUCAGAUGUGAAAUACUCCGGCUCAAUCGGGGGGCUGCAUCUGAAACUGGCUAUCUUGAGUGAAGGUGAGGAAGGCGGAUUUUACGGUGUCGCGGUGCAAUGCUUUGAUCUCGGGAGGAACACCAGAGGCGGAGGCGGCUUUUUGGACGAUAACCGCUGAUGCCAAGAAAAAGCGUAAGCAGUGGUUUC